GUUUGAGAAACUGAAAGAACAGAUUUAAAAGACAAAAUGUUAGAGUACGCGUCCUACUAAUUGCCUAUAUAUAGAACAGGUAAGUAAACGUGGUUCACAGAAGUAAAACUGAACACAGUAUUUUUACGUGGAAAACACCCUGCUCAAGAAAGGUGUAAAAAACCGCGACCUGUACCUCUACAGGAUUUAACCCACAACUUCACUAAAUUACUUGAGCCUCAAUAAUCAAUAAAAUUACAAGACUUCUUGUAACCUAGGAAUUAAAACUUCUAACUCCUAUCACUACAAAAACACUAAUCUUCCCAAGAUAAGUGUUCCCAAGUGUUUGAGUUUCCAAACUUGAAGACAACAACUCCUAACUCAGUUUAUAGAUUACUAAGACUAGAAUCAAUAACUCAUUACAAUACAAGAACCUAAUGACUACACUGGUUAUGACCUGCUAAGUAAGAGACUAGGUUCUUCUUCAAGUAUAUGAACUGAUGUGCUGAUUGUUGAUUAACUUUUUAGUGCUUGAGUGAGUAUCAGGCUUUGUGUCACGUUUGUUGUAUUUAAUCCAACCUAUGAUAGAGUCCUUUUUCAUAUCUAAUUUGUUCUCCAGUAGAACUCUAUCAGUUAACUCUUUUCCUUUUGUUGCCGCCUCACUUGUCCUAGAUUUAAUAGGACUCUUUUUCUUCAAAUCCUCUCCUUGCUGGACUACUUGAUCAACUAGACUUCUUCAAGACUCCUUGUUUGACUCAGCUUCUGAUGUGAUUUAUGUUAGCUAUGCUUGUCUUGUACGCAGAAUCAUAUCAUUCAGACUCCUGCGCCAGCAAGAGUAUUUCACUUGAAUGGACCAACUUCUUCAAAUUGUUUCAUUCUCAUGUCUAUCAUCAAAACUCCUUCAUGCCUUAACACAAAAAUUAUCUUUACUUCUGAUUUAAAUUGUGGAGAGUUAAAACAUGUCCUACUUUUUUUGUAAAAUGUACAGCAAAUUAAGUUGUUUUCAUCCUAGGCUCACUCUUAAAUAUAGUAGAAUAUAUAUAUAUAUAUAUAUAUAUAUAUAUAUAUAGAGAGAGAGAGAGAGAGAGAGAAAGAGAGAGAAACAACAACAACAAACUUAGUGUAUUCCCACAUAGUGAGGUCUGGGGAGGGUAAGAUGUACGCAGUUUAUACCACUACCUCUGAAGAAGUAGCAAGGCUAUUUUCGAUAAACCUCCAGCUCAGUGUGGUAAAUGUAUUUAAGAAAAUUAUAUUGUGUAUAUGUUUGUCUGUGUGUGUGUAUGAAAUAAAAAUUAAUUAUUAAUUUUUAUGAAAGCAUGAAUGGAUUGCAGAGAAGGUGGUAAACACAUGCAUGAAGAAAUCCACACGAAUUGAUGAAGGAAAGAUAUUUAUAUACCUAAGUCAAAAUAAGAAAAUAAAGAAAGAAAUUCAAAGCCUUAGGGUUUUUUCCGGUAGAGUGUAUAAGAUAAUAUCGAAUAAGGUGACUUAGUAAUGUUGAGAUUAGUAGAGCUAGAUUAGUAAUAUUGGGAUUUGUAAUGCUGGAAUUACUUUUUAUGCGGUAUUUGGUUUGAUGUAUUGAAACCAGUAUAUAUUGUUAUAUUUUAAAAAUAAUAUUAUUUGUUUACAAAAAAUACCCUUGACAUACUAUAACUUUAUGUAGUUUCUUUGUAAAGUUUUUUUAUUAUUUUUUAAAAAUAAAAAAAUCAACAAUAUAACUAAUAACUUACUUUGGAAUUUUAAGAUUUAAUCAUUCACUUGCAGGAAAAAAAAAUUGUUAUCUUUUCUUUAUUUACUAAUCAUUUGUUUGUUGUUCCCACUUUAUGGUGUUCUUAAGUUGGAGGGAGGUACGUGUAACUUUUGAAUGAGAUAGUAGAAUCAUUAUUAACAUAAAAUUGUGUUACGUAAGUGUUAAAGCUAAGCAAAAAUAUUAUUUUUAUUUGUGAUAUAUCCUAUUUACAAAAUUAAAGCUAGUAUCCAAUCAUGCAAUUUAUUUUUGAAUUUUGACCAAUAAGUAUUUUUUAAGUUAUUGGUGUAGUUUUUUAUAUGACUAAAAUUAUUUGGAGGGAUAUUAUCAUCUUGGUAAAUUGUAACGAAAUAACUCGAAUAAAUUGAAAAAGAUUUAGAAAAUAUUUAAAGGAAUUCGAGGGCAUUUUUGUCUUUACUCAUGUUUAUCCAUGUAUUGUAAUCUAUGGAUUACUAAUCCCACCAAAUUAAGGGGUUGUUUGGUAGAGUGUAUAAGAAUAAUGAAAAAUAUGGUGUAUUAGUAAUACUUGUAUUAGCAAUGCUUGUGUUAGUUAUACUUGCAUUAGUUAUGCUUGUAUUUUUCUUAUGCAGUGUUUGGUUCGAUGUAUUAAAAAUAACAUGAAUUACAUAAUUUCUAAUUUUUUUAUAUUUUUUUACAUAAUACCCUCAAUAUAUCUGUUGGAAAGGAUGCGAAAUUUUUUUUAAGGAUAAUAAUGUCUUUAAGCAUGUUAAUACAUGCAUUAGUUCCAUUGCAUUACUAAUGUCAUGGAUUUUGAGGUAUUAGUAAUACACAUCUCAUAUAGGGUAAAAAUAUAUACCAAAUAAGGUACUAUUAAUACACAUUAAACUAAUGCAUGCAUUAACUUUCCAAUACACUCCACCAAACGACCCCUAGUGUAUUAGUUAUACACCCUAUAAUACCAUGUAUAAUGUAUAACCAAUCCAUGAAUUAGUUAUAUAUUGCUCCAAAUUUUCUAUCAAACAAUAUAUUAAAUAAUACCAUACUUUAAUAUAUGAAUUAUCAAAUUAAUAAACUCUACCAAACAGCUCCUUAGUGGAUUCCUUUCUAAUCAUGACUAUAAGUUUAGAGUUUUAAAAUUUGAAAGGUAGCUAAACUCUCAGGCCAUCCAGAAGAGGGAGAGUUUCAAGUAUUUGGGGUCUAUAAUUCAGGGUAAUGGUGAGAUUGACGAUGAUGUCACGCAUCGUAUUGGGGCAGAGUGGUUGAAGCGGAGGCUCACUUCGGAAGUCCUUUGUGAUAAGAAGGUUCUCCCAAAGCUUAAAGGUAAGUUCUACAGAGUGGUAGUCUGGACGGUCAUGUUGUAUGGAGCGGAGAGUUGGCCAGUUAAGAACUCCCAUAUCCAAAAAGUGAAGGUGACAGAGAUGCAAAUAUUGCGAUGGAUGUGUGGACAUACCAAGAAAGAUAAGGUGAGGAAUGAGAUUAUUCAGGAGAAGGUAGGAGUUGCCUCGGUAGAAGAUAAGUUGCUAGAAGUGAGGCUACGUUGGUUCGGGCAUGUGAUGAAGAGGUGUCCUGAUACUCCAAUGCGGACGUGUGAGACUCUGGCUAGGGAUGGUUUUAGGCGGGUUAGAGGUAGACCAAAGAAAUAUUGGAGGGAGGUGAUUAAGUAUGAUAUGGAGCAAUUACAGCUUACAGAGGACAUGACCCUUGAUAGGAAGGUGUGGAGGACGCGGAUUAGGGUAGAGGGUUAGGGGUGGUAGCGUGGAGGUAGUAAUAGGGGAGUGCUCAUUCGGGUCUGGAGUUUCUAGUUCGUAGUGUUGUGGCUGCAGUUUGGGGCUAGUAGUGUUGACUUUUUUGCAUCCCGUACUAGUUUAUUACGCACUUAUCUUUUGUGUUUGUUAUACGAUUAGUUUGUUUUAUGUACCAUACUAGUUUAUAUGUGCCUACUUUUUGUAUUUGUUAUACUAUUAUUGGUCCUAAGCCGGGGGAAUAUCGAAAACAGUCUCUCUACUUCUCUUGAGGUAAUGGUAUGGUCUGCGUACACUCUACCCUCCCCAGACCCCACUGGGUAUGUUGUUGUUGUUGUUGUUGUUGUCUAUUUAUGGCUAGCAGGGCUUUUAAUUAAAGGCAGAGAGUUUCUCAUUUGUUCAUCUCACAAUGGAUGGCAUUAUUUUUUUAUCUUCCAUAAGAAAAAUCCUACAAAUCUAAUUUUUCUUCUUCUUCUUUUUUUAUGUAUAGGAUAAAUAUUCAUUUACUCAUCUAUAUCUCAAAUAUUCUAAACAACUCCAUACUUAUUUAUCUUUCAACUUCUAUUUUUUUCUCUCUCUUUUUUAAUUUACUUUAAAAAAAAUUUGUAGUUUUUCUCAACUCUUAUUUUUUUUUCUUUUUACUUUAAAAAAAAUUUGUAGUUUUUCUCAACUCUUACUUUAUUUUCUUUUUCUCUUAUGACCUUCUUUUUUUUUCCUUUUUUCCUUCUUUUUAUUUUAUUUUGAUUUUUUUCUUUUCUCUAUUUUUUUUUUUAAAUUCACAACCCUUACUUUUUCUCUUUUUCUCCUAUCAACUUCUAUUUUUUAAAAGAAAAAAAUCUCCUUUUUAAUUUUUCUUUGGUUUAUUUUUUUUUCUUUUCUAAUUUUCCUAUCCUUUAUUUUUGUUUUGUCUCUUUUUUUUUUUUCUCAAUCUUUAUUUUUUAUUUCUUUCUCCUCUCAACUUCUAUAUUUUCUUUUUCUCUUUUUUAUUUUCUUUGAUUUUUAUUUUUUAUUUUUAGAUAUUUUUCCUUAUUUUUUUCUUUUUUUGCAACUUUUAUUAUUUUUCUUUUCUUCAAUUCCUUCCAACGACAAGGUAUGCCCCAUGGACAAGAGUUAGCACUAUAAGAUUGUAUCUUAAUUUAUGAUAUAUUUUAUAAAUGACUUUGAAAUAACAAGUUACAUUUAAUGAACAAGAACUGGCACUACCGCAUUGUGUUUUGAUUUAUGAGAUGUUCUAUAACUAUUAUCUUAGAGGUAAGAAUUAACCCAAAGACUUUCAAGCAACAAGUUAUGCCCCACGGGCAAGAGUUGACACUAUCAAAUUAUGUCUUGAUUUAUGAGAUGUUCUACGAUUCUUACCUUAGAGGCACUACUUAUCCCAAGGAUUUUCAAAUAAUAAGCUACAUACAUUGGAAAAGAGUCAACACUACCGCAUUGUGUAUUUUACUAAUGGAAUGCUUAUAGCUCUUGUCUUAAAGGCAAGACUUAGCCCAAGGACCAUCAAACAACAAGUUAUGCCCCAUGGGAAAGAGUUAACACUACCACACUAUGUAUUUAUUGAGAUGCUCUAUAACUCUUUCCUUAAAGGCAAGAAUUAGUCCAAGGGCUUUUCAAGCAACAAGUUACGGCUCAUGGGUAAAAGUUGACACCACCACAUUGUGUUUUGAUUUAUGAGAUGUUUUAUAACUCUUGUCUUAAAGGCAAGACUUAGCCCAAUGACUUUUAAAUGACAAGUUACGCCAUGUGGGCAAUAGUUGACAUUACCGCAUUAUGUCUUGAUUUAUGAAAUGAUUUAUAAAUCAAAGAAUUUCAAAAAACAAGUUAUGCCCCGUGGGUAACAGUUGACACUACCAUAUUAUGUCUUAAUUUGUGUGGCGUUCUAUAACUCUUGCGUUAGAGGGAAGGCUUAGUCCAAGGACUUUCAAAAAACAAAUUACGCCUCAUGGGCAAGAGUUGAUGCUACCACACUGUGUCUUGAUUUAUGAGAUGUUCUAUAACUCUUGCCUUAGAGGCAAGACUUAACCCAUAAGUUACGCGCCAUGAGCUUGAGUUGACACAACCACAUUGUAUCUUGAUUUAUGAGAUGCUCUAUUAGCUUGCCUCUAAGACAAGACAUAUCCCAUGAACCUCCCAAAAGAAUGAGUUACGCCCAAUGAGCAAGUGUUGACACUACCAAAUUGUGUCUUGAUUUAUGAGAUAUUCUAUAACUCUUGCCUUAAAGGCAAGACUUAUCCUAAAAGACUUCCAAAUAACAAGUCAUGCCCUUAAAUUUACUUCGAUGUCAAAACAAAAAGAAGAUCCUUUUGCGGAUUAUCCAACUUUCUAGUUAGCAAAAUAAAAUAGAAGUUGAGAAAAAGAAAAAGUAGAGAAAAGAAAAAAAAAGACUGAGCAAAAAAGAAACAAAAGAGAAGAAAAAAAUAAAGGUUAAGAAAAACGAUGAGAAUGGAAAAGCCCCAAAAAAAUAAAAUAAAGAUUGAGAAAAUUGAAAAUGAGAAGAAAAAAAUAAAAAUAAAGUUUGAGAAACAGAAAAAAAAGGAGAAAUGAUAGCAACAAAAAGUAAAAGAAAAAUAAAGGUUGAUACAAAUGACUAAAAAAAAGUAAAAUAAAGAAAUAGAUAAUAUUUGACAAAAAAUAAAAAAAGAUAAAAAAUUAAAGGUUGAGACAAAUGAAUUAAAACAAAAAAAAAAGAAAAUAAAAAACAAAAAAGUAGGAAAAAAUAAAAAAGAAGAAGAAACAAAAAUAGAAGUUGAGAGACAAAUGAGCAUGAAAAGUUUGAAGUGUAGAUGGAUAAAAAUGUACUUGUUCCGUAUAUAAAAAAAAAAAAAGACUAGUGUUUAAAGACUUUUCUUAAUAGGGACAAAAAAAAUAAAGGGAUAAUUACAUAUCUUAGCAAAUUCAUAGUCUCACUCAUUUAUUUUCUCUCUUUCUAUAUUUUCUAUCACUUUCCUUUUUUUCAAGUUAUUUUCUUCAUUUUUUCUUUUCCUUCUCUUGUUUUCUCAUUCUUUUUUUCUCAUUUUUCUUCCUUUUUUUCUUCUUCAUUUUUUAUUUUUUUUCUUUUCAUUUUUGCUCCUUUUUUCUGUAUGUUUUUCUCUUAUUUUUUGUUGUUGUUGUAGUAUUUUAUAUUUUAUAUUUUUUAUAUCAUACUAUAUAUUUUAAAUAAAUUUAUUAUUUGUAGUUGAAUAGCUUAAUCUUGAAUAUGUACAAUUUAUCAUUUGUAUUUGUAUACAAAAAAGUAUAUUAAUUAAUUAUAUUUUGUUUGGGUCUUAAAUAUAUAAAUAUGCAAUGUGUCAUUCAAUGCAAAUGUAUCGUUAGUAUUUGUAUUUCAAAUUUAUCAUUUGUAUUUGUAUAUAAGCAAGUAUCAUUUUGUAUGCAUAUGGUUCAAGUUGUAUAACAUGUAUCAUUUGAUGCAAAUAUAACAUUUGUAUAAUUUAUCGUUUUAUAAAUACAAGUAUUCGUAGAAAGAAAAAUAAAAUUCUUUUAAAAUUAUUUAAAAACACAUAUGAUAUUGUCAACUACAAAUUCAAAUACAAAUAAAUGAAUUAAAAAUAAAAAUAUAAUAUGCGGUCAACUUAUAAAUAUAAUAAAAAAUAGUUCUUUCAAAAUACAAGUGUAUCGAUAAAAAUAAUGCACAAAUAACAAAUAAAAUAAAACCACAAAAUAUAAAUAUAAUGUACAGUCAAUUAUAAAAUACAAAUACAAAAUAAUUCUUUAAAAUACAAAUGUAAAUUGUAUAAAAUAUAAAUGAUGGUGCAAACUAGUAAACAAAAAUACAAGUGUGAACUAUAAAAUGCAAAUAUAAAUGUGAACUAUAACAUACAAAAACAAAUGCGAACUAUAAAAUACAAAUAAAAAUGCGAACUAUAACAUACAAAUAUAAGUGCGAACUAUAAAAUAUAAAUACAAAUGAGAACUAUAACAUACAAAUACAAGUGUGAACUAUAAAAUACAAAUGCAAUUGCGAACUAUAAUAUAAAAAUACAAGUGUGAAUACAAAUACAAAUGCGAACUAUGAUAUAUAUAUAUAUAUAUAUAUAUACAAAACAAGCGUAAACUAUAAAAUGCAAAAUACAAAUAUAAUUGUAUCAAUGAAUACAAAUAUAAAUAAUGAUAUGAAUAUAAAUACGAUAAAUAAUUAUGGUAUUUUUAUUAUUAUUCGUGACUUGUACUCGAGUAGCCAUAUUUUUUUAAAAUACAAAAAAUAUAAGAUAGAAAAAAAAGGUAGAAAAAAGAAAAUCAAAAAGAAAAAAAGAACCAAAAAAAAAAAAGCAAAAUAGAAGAUAGAGAUAGAAAAAAAAAAAGAAAAAGAACCAAAAGAAAGAAACAAAAAGGGGAAAAAAUAUAAAAGAAAAGAACAAAAAACACGAAAAAGAAAAAGAUACAAAAAAUGAAAGAACAAUUAGAAAAACAAAAAAGAAAAAAAAAUAGAAAAAAAAAGUAAGAAAAAUCAAAAAAGAUAAAAGAAUAAAACUUUAAAAAUGACGGUAAAUACAAAUACAAUGUGUGGUUAUGAUGUUUCUGUUGUCAUCCAUGGCUUGUAUUCGAUGUAGUCAUAUUUUUUGAAAAUAAAAAAUAUAUAAAAUAUAAAAUGUGAUUAAUAUAUUUAUGUUUUAUAUGGAUACAAACUAUUGAGUAAAAGCGAAUACAAAGGAUUUGAAUCGAGUACGUCAGCUAUAAAUCUUAAUCUAUAUCUAUAAUCUAUAAUAUAUUAAAAGUACGAAGGCCCUUAGAAAAGUGCUUUGAACUUUUUCCUUCAUUAAAAGUCUUCGCAAUAGAUAAAAUUAUCUUUUUAAUAUUUUUAAAAAAAAAUCAUAUUUAAUCAAAUUAAGGACUCCUAAAAACAUACAAAUAGAAAUUAGACACUCCUAAAAUAUAUGGGAUAAAAAAUAAGGACUUUUAAAAUAUAUGAAAAGAAAUAACCAGUAGGAUAUAUAUAUAUGGAAUUCUAAUAAAAUAAAUAUAUUAAAUUUUGAUUAUUAAAUUUUUUUAAAAGCCAGAUAAUCCAAAAUAGAGAUUCGGAUUCUCUUUUUAUUAUUGUAGUUCUUAGUUGUUUUCUUAAAAUAUUUUUAUCCGUGCCAAAUUUUUAUAAGUAGAGAUUCCACUUCCAUAAAAAUGCUUUUAUUUUUGUUCGUUAUGUGAUUUAUGUAAUGUUUUUUUCUAAAUAGGAGUUUAUUUGUCUUUUUCUUUAAAAAAAUUUCGUGUUUUAGCUUUUUUUUUUUAGGUGUUGAAAUCUAUAAUAUUUACUUUUUAAAUUCCUUUUUUAUUUAGACAAUAUUUACUUUUUAAAUUUCUUUUUGGUUUAGGGUCUCUGAUAUAUAUAAAAAAUAUUAUUGCACAAUCUCAUUCAUGAACUUUAUCAUUAAUGUUUCUUUUGUAUUUCUAGGUUUUCUUUCUUUAUGAAUUUUUCUUUUAUAAUAGAUCUUAAUGUUUGUCUUAUUACUUUCUCUUAUGUUUUCCGCCAUAAAUAUAUCAUUCAUAUUCUUUAUCAAAAUUCCAGGUUCUUGAAGUGAAUUUGUUCAGAGGUAUGUUUUCUAAAAGUUUAGACUGAUUUUGAAGUUUACAAUAAUAAAUGAUGUAUUUUUGAUAAAUAAUUAUAAAUUGAGAAAUUUCUUUGUGAGUUUUGUUUAUAGUAUUCCAUAUACAAUUAGUGAUUUGAAAUUGAAUUAUUCACAAUUUUGGACAGAUUAUUUAGAUUGUCCCAUUUUGUCACGAGAAAUUGGUUGUGUACUAUUGCUUUUCAGUCACUUCAUGUUUGGCCUUACUCUAUCUCAACUAAAGGAGUUGUACUAUUUUGAAACUCUAUAAGGCAUGAAACCUAAAAAAACUCUCAAAAGAAAGAAUAUUUGUUAGCUCAAUCAGUGGUCGGUGUAAAAGAAAUUACACAAAAAAUAUUUUCUCAUAUACAUACAUACUUUAGCACACAAAUAUCUUUUUUUAGCAUACGAAAGAGAUACACAAAUCCAAUUGUUUAUUUUACCUUUUUUUUAGUUCAUUUCAAUAUCCAAUUGUUUAUUUUACUUUUUUUUUUUAGUUCAUUUCAAUAUCUUUUUUUAAAAUACUCUAUUUCUAAACUUUCAUACAGUACAUUUAAAACUACAAGAUUAAAGUAUAUUUUAAUAUAUUUCACAUGUCUGUAAUAAUUAAAAGAGACAUUAGAAAAUGUAUGAUAAAUUAUCAUGUUCUUCACAUUUUUUUCUUAAAAUAAAUGCUGAUUUUUAAAAUUUUUAAAUUAAUAAUAUAACGUACACACAAUAAUUUAAUCUUUUGAUAUUCAUUUAUUUUUAAUUAACUAUAUACACGUGCAAAACACGUACACCUAAACUAGUAUUAUAAAGUGUGGCUAUGGAAGGUGAAUUUUGUGCAAAAUUGUUGCUAUUUUUGAAGGGAAGUUUCAAAAAUAGCAAAAGUUUGGCACAAAACCCACCUUUUGAUAGCCACAUUUUACAUAUUUACUAUUUAUAGCCGUUGUAUUCGAUUUACAGUUGUUGUAUUCACUUUACUCAGUGGUCUGUAUUCAUAAAAAACAUAAAUAUACUACAUAUUUAGUCUCACAAAAAACACUACCAUUUUUUCUUUUUUAUUUUUUUAUUUUUUUCUUUUUAGUGUUUUCCCCGGUUUUUUCUUUUCUUUUUUCUAUUUUUUUUGUUUCUUUUUUUUCUCUCUUCUAUCUCUAUUUUCUAUUUCUCUUUCUUAUUUUCUGUUGUUCUUUGAUUUUUUUGUUUUCUUUUUUGUACUUAUAUACUUGUAUGCAUUAGACCAAUAAAUUGUGAUUAUUUCUUCCCUCCCAAUUGGUUCAAGGUCAGGAAUCAACUAUUUCAUCUAAUAAUUUUAAUGUGCAAUAUACGAUUAAUGAAUAUACCAUGAUGCAUAAAAAUGGAUUCCUCAAAUAAAAUAAAGGAUGUAUGUUAGUUUUUCUAACAUAAGGGGGAGAUUAUAAGCGGCUAUGAAACAUGUUAGGAAUUAUCAUCAGAUCCUCAUUCAAAAGAUAGUUCAAGUAAAAUACUGAAAGCAUCUCAUAUCUAAGCUGCAAGUGCUCUUAUUUUGUGUUCUUAAAUGACAAAGUCUACCCAUACAUGAAGAGUGGUAGACCAAUCGGUUCCUUGAAAUAAUCUGUGAAAAAUAAAGAGCAAAUAAUCAUAAUAAGAAGGUAAUGUACUCUUGAAGAGCCUACGACAUAACACUUCAUGAAACCUUAUGAGAGGUUCAGGUACCUGAGAAUAAUGAAGUGAUGAGAUCUCAAAAUGUUAUGUCACAUUGUGAACCGAUACAAAAUGAUAUAUCAUCGAUAAUAUCUUUCAUACAAUAUUGACGCAAUUAAAUAUUACGAGGAUCCGAAUUCUACGUUAUUUAAGCAUGUUGACGAAGAAAUAUUUAUCAAGUAACGUGAAAGGAUACAUCUUGGUAAGUAUAAAACUUAUUUGAUUUGCAGUCCAUAUACUUAAAGAUGUCACUCAUGUAAUGUUGAAUAUUGUCACUUGAAAAAAUUUACAUGAAAAUUUAUUUAAGGAUUCAAAAUGUUUGAAGCAUAUAAAAGUUUCAAGAAAACUUAUUUAUAAUCCUUAUAUUGCAUAAGUUUAUAACUUGAAAAUUAUUAGAACUCUUUGAGAGUAUUCAAAAGCAAUAGAUUAUUGGCUGAAAUGAGAAAUAUUCCAAAUUGGACUAUUAUAAAGUACCAUAUCUUAGUGCAAUUGAUGCACAAAUGUAUCUUGCAAAUACCACAAGGCCCGAUAUAGCUUUUUCAGUUAAUUUGUAAGAAAGGUGUAAUUCUUCUCCUACUAGGAGACAUCGAAAUGGGAUCAAAUACAUAAUUUUAUUUUGUUCUAAAGAUUGCAGUCCCGAUCUUGUUAGAUAUGCAUAUGUUGGGUACUUAUCGGACCCGUAUAAAGCUCGAUCUCAAAUAAGUUAUGUGUUCAUAUGUGAGGAUACUGCUAUAUAUUGAAGAUAUACAAAACAGUCUAUCAUAGCUACCUCAUCGAACAGUGCUGAGAUAAUAGCUAUUCAUGAAGUAAACCGAGAGUGUGUGUGGUUAAGGUCCAUGAUACAUCUCAUUCGCGAAAAAUAUGAUUUGAAAUGUGAUAAAGUACCCAUGACUUUUAUGAAGAUAAUGCAGCAUGCAUAGCAUAACUUAAGGGAGGAUUCAUAAAAGGAGAAUGAACAAAACACACUUCAUCAAAGCUUUUCUGUACAUAUAAUCUCCAAAAGAAUGGUAUUAUUAAUAUACAACAGAUUCGUUCAAGCAACAUGUAGCUGAUUUAUUCACCAAGUCCACUCCAAUUGCAACUUUCAAGAAGAUGGUGCACAAGAUUGGGAUGCAAAGGUUCAAGGAUGUUCUCAUUAGGAGGAGUUAAUACGCGUUGUACUCUUUUUUCCUUAUGAGGUUUUGUCGCAAUGAGUUUUUCUUGUAAGGUUUUUUUAAUGAGGUAACCGAAAUAAGUAUGUUAUAGAUGUGUACUCUUUUUCCUUCACUAGAUUUUUUGUCCACUAGAUUUUUUUCUUGUAAGGUUUUAACAAGAUACAUUAUUUGUCAAUUAGACAUUCAAGGAGGGUGCUAUAAAUAUAUUACCAUAUAUAGUGAAUGUUUAUUUUACCAUAUGUAGUGAAUAUCUAUCUGUAAUCUAUAAUAUAUUAAAAGUGUGAAAACCCUUAGAAAAGUGAUUUGAACUUUUUGCCCUUCAUUAAAAGUCUUCGCAAUAGACAAAAUCAUCUUUUUAUCCUUUUUCAUCAAUUAUUAUAUUAUUAUUUUUAUAAUAUUUUAAGGACUCCUACAAUAUAUAGGAGGGGGUAAUAUAUGGGAAGAAUUUAGAUGUCUAUUUUUGAUAUAUUAGGAAAAUAAAUAUUGAUUAUGGUAGGUUUUAAAGGUAAUUUGUCUUUGACUUGGACAUUAGUUAUGUUUAUUUAAGGUUUAGUUAUAGUUAUUCAUGAUACGUUGUUCUUUUUUUGCUACACACGACAACGAUUAUGUGUAUUCAACCUAUUUCUUAUACUAAUUGUAAUACACAUUGGUAGGCUUUCUAUUAAAUAUCUGAUUUAAUUUGUUUAUGUUUUUUGUUUAUUUGAUUGAAAUUGUUAUUCAAGAGAUCGUUGGCUUGAUCCAUGACACAUAUUUUCACACGCAAGAAACAAAGUUGAUUCGUUUUCAAAACAACAACGGAAGACAAUAACGCUUUUUGUUGUUGUCUUAAUUUGAGCUUUGAAUUAUAUGCAGUAAUAUGCAGUUGGGGAAAUAGACAAAAUUAUCUUUGUUUUGUUGACAUCUGCAUUUUUCUUCUACUUUUUUUUUAUAUUCAGGUUUUCGCUGGUUUUCUAUCAACGAAUGUUUUUUCUUAAAUUUAGAUACCCACUAUGUAUGUUUCUUUCGUCAUGCAACGUCUUUUCUCUAUAGUGAUUUUAUCUUUCCUAAGCACUCUAAUACUUAAUAGAAAAUUAUGUAAUUAUUAAGAUCUAUUUUGAGACUAUGCGAUUGUGUAGGAGGCUUUAUUUAAGGAUACUCUUCUAUCACCAAAAUUUAAAAGCAAGUUCUACAAAAUGGUGAAUUAAAUUGGCUAUAUUGUAUGAAGCGGACAUGGCACAAUUUUCUCUUACUAAUGCCAUGACCUUAGAUAAGAGGUCAUGGAGGACACUGAUUAGCGAGGAAGAUUAGUUAGACAGUAGUGAACCAUAUUUGAUUUUCUUAUGUCUCUAUCUAUGAAUAUUCACUUCAAUAUUUUCAAAGUUUUUUCUCGAAACAAGAUUAUGUUGGGCUUAAUGUUUUGCUUAAACAUUGUUGAAGGACGAAGGAAAAGUUUGAGUAACUUUCUGCCUAAUUCUCGGUCAGCUACUGAUCUCUGAAAAGGUUCAGAAACUGUUUAGGUGGAGCUUUGAGUUUUAUUCAUGAAUUAGAGGUAAUUGUCAGUAUUAGACACGUCAAUUUGUUGAACUUGAGAGGUUUCACUGUCACAUUCUUUUUGCAGGGUCAUCAAAGAAUUACUGUUUGUGAUUGAUGAAAAAUGAGAGUUUAUAUGAUCAUUUAUUUGGGUGGAAAUGCAAAAAUUGAAUUGGCCUAUUAUUCAAAAAAUUGCAAUUGAUAUAGCUAGAAGCUUCACUUGCUUGCAUUAUGGAGCACAACGACUGUCACUCAUAGGGGCAUAAAGUCAAGUAAAUAUACAUUUAGACGAAAAUUUAUGUCUAAGAUUGCGAAUUUUGAAAGAAAAGAAUGCCAAGAAACCAAAUCAACGAAGAAAACUUAUAGUACAUUGGUUGACAAAAAAAAUGAAAGUAAAUUGAAGGUUGAAGGCAUUAUUGAAAAAGUGACAAAUUAAAAGCAGUGUGUUGUAAUAAUGUAACAAAAUUACUUAUUUAACACUUUGCAAGAUGUAAAACUCAAUUACUAAAAUGCAUUGCGAGAAAGCAAAGAGGAAAUUAAAAAUAACAAAUUAAAUGACAUGAUGCGCCUAAUUGUUCUUUGAGGCUACAAUUCGCGUCCUGUAAUCAUGCAAUGAACUGAACUAAGUCACAUGACAAUUAACUGACUCUGAGAAACAAAGAAGUUAUUAAUGAAUAGUGAGUAAUGAUUAGUACAAUUAUAUAUGGUCAAUUAGGUAGGGCUAGCUAGAAAUAUAUUUAAUUUGGAUCCAUCCAAGUGAUGCAUUAGAUGAAUAAUGAAAAUAUUGUGAUGUAGUAUCAUGACUAGAUGUAAUAUAUUGAUUUUCUUUCUAUGGAUUACUAUCUAGAAGAUAGCAGUUACAUUGUAGAUAUAGCCACUCCGGCAAAUAUAUUAUAAUUUAGUCUUUCUAUUCUUAUUUUUAAUUCUUUACGUUUUUCAGAGAUAAUUUGUCUUAAUUCUUUAUAUUGUUGUAUUUUAUUCAUUUUAAAUUAUAUUUAUAAUAUCUUGGUGGAUAUCUAAAUCUAAUUUUAUUAUAAUUAGGCGGUAUAUAUUUCAUUCUUCUAGAUUUUAAAUGUGUUAUUAAUUUUGAUUCAAUACUAGAUAUUAAUGUAAUUAAAUAGGCUAGUUUUUGUGGAUUUUCUUUUGUUUUAUUUAGACUUAUAUAUUCUGAAUAAUUACUAAUUAAUGAUUUUUUUAUUUUUCUAAAAGCUUCUCUAUUUUUAAAUGGUCUUCGCAUAAUUAAUUUAAUAUUUUCGUAGGUAAUUUUUUAAUUUUUUAACUUUAAUUCUAAUUCUAAUUCUAAUAUAUAUCUCUUCCGUACUUUUUAGAUUACUGGGCUCUGAUACCAUUAGGGGGGUGCGCGGAUUUAAUUAAAUAGGUAUAAUAGAUUUGGUACAUAUUUGUAGUGAAUCUAUUUUUAUUUAGUGCGUGGAUGUUAUCUUUUAAUAAUUUACUUUUUUCGUAAGAUAUAUUCAUUAAUUAUUUUAUCCUGUAGUAAUUACAGAGUUACAAAUUCUUGUAUAAUAAUUUAUCCUAUCUGUGCUAUAAUAUAUAUCUAAUUCUAGAUUUUCAAUGUUAUUUAUUAUUUUGUGUUGUUCUUCUCGUAGUGAGUUUUUUAAAUUAUAUAAACUAUCACAUGUACUUUUAUCUAAAUUUUCUAAGGUUUUUUCUAUCCAUAUUAAUUUUUCUUUUAGGUCUUUCAUUAUUUGUCUAAUUCGGUUUCUAUAAUUAAUUUCAUUAUUUAGAUUUUCUUGAUUUUCUCUAGUUUGUCUAAUAUAUUCUAACAUUUUUUAAUCUGAAUAAUAUCCUUCUGGGUAAAUUUCUUCGUAUAACUGUUCUAGAUAAUUUAUAGUUUCAAUUUCGUAGUCUAUUACUUUUUCUAAUAUUAUUUUCUUAAUAUCUAUAAUUUCUAUGUUUUUAAGUAUAUAUAAUAUUAAAACUUUAAGAUAAUCUAAAUGAUCUAUUUUUAAAAUUGUUUUGUAGCUGUUUGUUUUAGUCUUAGUAGUUUUUGCAUAUUUUUAUUAAGAAAUUUUAUAUCUUUGUUUUCCAUGUGUUUAUUUUUAUUUUUUCUAGUAACUGCAAAAGUUUUUGUUUUUAUCUUCUUUUUUUUUUUAUGUAACUUAUCACCUUAAGUAUUUAUAAGAGUCGUUAGGUAUUUGUGGUAUAUAGCUUAUUCUAGACAUAUAAUUUUUACCAAAAGCUUUUUCUAAUAUUAUUUUUCUUAUAUCUGCUACUUUUAUAUUUCUAAGUGCAUACAAAAUAAGUAUCUUGAAUUUAUCUACCAUCACAUCAGAUAUAUUAUCAUUCAUUUUUCAUAAAUUUGCUUUUUUCAAAAUAUUCCCUUCAAUCACGUACACAACAAAAUAUGGUCAUAUUGGCUUACUAUAUACUAGAUUAUUCUUAAAUAAUAUGUUCUUCCGUCACUAUUAACAUGGUAAUCUGGAUACUUUUUCCCUUAAACAGCGCCUCUACUCUGGUUACUCCCCGCCACGGCUUCUUGCCUCAUUGGUUUCACCUUUAGGAUGGCAUAGUCCUUAGGGAUAUUUCUCCGUUUCCUCUUUGUUAAUAAACUUCUUAACAUAUUAUUCUUCGAAUAAUUCUACUAUAAAGUAACUAAUAUGAAUUUAUUUUAUCAUAUCAUGAUUGUUGGGAAUUAUGAAAUUAGCUAUUCAUAAUUAUAAAUAGAUAUACCUGUUCCGGUAGCUUUGAUGUUUCUGAGUUUUGUUGUUCCUGUUGUUCCAUAGCUUUUUCCAUUGGAGUAUAUUUUUCUAAUUAACUGAGUAAAUUUUUUGUUUGUGGAAUGGAGAGAGAGAUUUGUUUCAAAAGAAGGCUU
rnacentral:lncRNA from 1 species